rnacentral:misc_RNA from 1 species
GGACUACAGGGGUUUCUAAUCCUGUUUGCUCCCCACGCUUUCGUGCCUGAGCGUCAGUAUCGGCCCAGGGGGCUGCCUUCGCCAUCGGUGUUCCUCCACAUAUCUACGCAUUUCACUGCUACACGUGGAAUUCCACCCCCCUCUGCCGUACUCUAGCUCCGUAGUUUCAAACGCAGUUCCCAGGUUAAGCCCGGGGAUUUCACAUCUGACUUGCAGAACCGCCUGCGCACGCUUUACGCCCAGUAAUUCCGAUUAACGCUCGCACCCUACGUAUUACCGCGGCUGCUGGCAC